GCCUCAGAAUAAAAGCGUCUGUCUUGUAAACAGAAGGUCUCUGGUUCGAUUCCAGCAUGAGGCA
rnacentral:tRNA from 1 species